GCGCCAGUAGCUCAGGUGGAUAGAGCAACUGCCUUCUAAGCAGUAGGUCGGGGGUUCGAGUCCCUCCUGGCGUGCCA
rnacentral:tRNA from 1 species